AUGACAUACUUGACUAAAUCCACCUACACUCGUCUUUGUGAGGGUUUGCCGACUUGCCCUUACGCCGCAGCCAUCUGGAGGAGUCUUGCACCCCUCAAAUGCAAGAUCUUUGUUUGGCUGGCUUCCCAACAUCGCUUGUGGACGGUGGAUCGACGCACUCGUCAUGGUUUGCAAGAUCAUACCUCCGCCUGCUAUACUUGCUUACAGGACGAAGACACCGUGGACCACAUCUUGGUGCAAUGUGGCUACGCGCGUGCCACUUGGAUGGGUUGUUUCGACAUGUUACGCAUUCAGAUCUCUUGCCCCGUGAGUACGGACUCCUUUGUCGAAUGGUGGAUGUUGCAACAUUUGGGUUUCGCGAAGGAAGACAAACGUGGGUUCGACACCCUGGUCAUUUGCGCGGCAUGGUCACUCUGGAAGCAAAGGAAUGCCAGGGUGUUCAACGGAGCUGAGCAACAAGUGGACGCACAGGAGCUCAUGAAGAAGAUCCUUGAGGAACUUAGCGAUUGGAAGAUGGCGGUUCGGGGAGGUGGUAGCUUACAAUGCUUUGUGAGAGAUUAG
rnacentral:rRNA from 1 species